rnacentral:rRNA from 1 species
CGACUUUCGAACGCAUAUUGCAGCCUUGGUCAUACCUUGGCUUCGUUUGUCUGAGCGUCGUUUGAAAUGAAAGCCACAAACUAUAUGCAAGACUCGUUCAUCGUGUUGAAUUUGUUUUUAACUCGUCGAGUCGCAUUAAUGUUUGCCAAAAAGGAGACUUUUAAAUAAGUUGUCCGUGGUAUGUACAAACGUGCAUUACAGAUCGGACAAUUGAACAUUAUGUAUGUUCACUUAUUGAGAAAAACUCCAAUAACAAACAACAAAAUCAAAAUUUUGUCAAAUUCGACCUCAGAUCAAGCGAGAUUACCCCCUGAAUUUAAGC